rnacentral:misc_RNA from 1 species
AUACAGCAUCCAAUAUGGCAGCUUCCGGUGCUUCCCAUUUGGGAAACGGGAAAAUUAAUUUAGGAGCAUUGCGUGAUUACUAUCGAAGAGAGUUAUUAGAAUGUUUAGACAAAUGCAGUGGAACAAAGGCACUGGUAUGGGAUGAUGCACUAACCGGACCAUUUGGAUUGAUUGCAGAAUAUUCUCUUCUUAAGGAGCAUGACGUGGAAAAGAUGAUGUUGUUACCCAAGGAGAACCAGUCUCUCCCUACCAGUACUGUACAGAACAUCAUUUUUGUGACAAGACCGAAACUUGAACUGAUGGACCAGAUAGCUCAAAGUCUACUCCGGGAGGACCAGAAAGGUGGCUUUAGAAGAGAGUUCCACAUUAUCUUUGUACCCAGGAAGAGUCUGUUGUGUGAAAAGAAGUUAAAGGAGGCAGGUGUUCAUGGUUCUCUAACAAAUAUAGAAGAGUUUAGUCUUGCUCUGAUUCCCUUUGAUUAUGAUCUCAUGUCUAUGGAGAUGGACAACUCUUUCAAGGAGUGUUAUUUGGAGAAUGAUAACACAAGUAUGUUCUACGCAGCUCAGUCACUGGUCACUUUACAGACAUUGUACGGUAUCAUACCAAAUAUAGCCGGCAAAGGAGAAUGUGCCAAGCAUGUGGUAGAUAUGAUGUUACGUAUGAGACGUGAACUAGAGGGUCACGAGCCACAGAUUACCCCGCAGAUUGAUAACCUUGUCAUUAUUGAUAGAACAGUGGACCUGUUAACACCACUUCUCACUCAGCUUACAUAUGAAGGAUUAAUUGAUGAAUUCUACGGCAUAAAUAAUACCUCUGUCAAACUGCCGCCAGAGAAAUUCAAGAGUAAAGACGAGAGUGGGAGCUCUUCAGACAUGGAGCAAAAAACAGUUGUUUUAAAUUCCACCGAUGAACUGUUUUCUGAACUAAGAGACAAAAAUUUCAGUGCAGUCGGAAAUACAGUCAGCAAAAAGGCCAAAAUUAUAACAGCCCAGUUUGAUGAGAGACAUGCAGCAAAGACAGUUGGGGAAAUGAAGAACUUUGUAACCAAGUUGCCACAUUUACAGCAGGCUAGAGCUUCUUUAGCUACACAUACAUCAAUAGCUGAGUUGAUUAAGGAUGGUACAGACACAGAUGAGUUCAUGGAAUGUUUACGAUGUCAGCAGGAGCUAUAUAAAGGAGAAGAGACAGAUAAAGUUAACACAUAUAUUGAGGACUGUAUAGGUAGAAGGGAACCACUAUUGAAGGUUCUGAGAUUGUUGUGUAUCCAGUCAUUCUGUAAUAAUGGAUUAAAGCCAAAGGUUUUAGAAUAUUAUAAACGAGAAAUUGUGCAGACAUAUGGGUUACAGCAUCUGGUAACGUUGACCAAUUUAGAGAGAGCGAGACUACUACGGCCACAUACAAAUAGAAACUACCAGACUAUAAGAAAGUCACUCAAGCUUACUGUCGAGGAUGUCAAUGAAUUGACACCAAAUGACAUAUCGUAUGUAUACAGCGGUUAUGCACCUUUAAGUGUACGACUAAUACAGUACCUAGCACGACCAGGAUGGCGGAGUAUAACUGAGGUGCUUAGUAUAUUACCAGGUCCAAGGGUUGAUGAGGUCCAACAGAUUCCUGUAGCUCUAAAAAAAAGAAGAAGUUCAAUAACAUCAUCACAUUCCAGUAUGGCUGAUCAGAAAGUAACGCUAGUCUUCUUCCUUGGUGGCGUCACCUAUGCCGAGGUUGCGGCCCUUAGAUUUCUUGCCCAACAGGAUGAUGGUGGAACAGACUAUGUGAUAGCUACAACCAAAAUCAUCAACGGGAGUUCAUUGCUGGAUAAACUAACGUAUCAUGUGGAACCAGUGAAACUAAAUCCGUUCAUGUGAUAUUCCAUAAUCUAAAGACUCAUUUUGAAUUCAACAACAUGUCCUAAGGAAAUACAGUUCAGUUUUAAAAAGACUUAUUAUCCUUUUCAUGUCUUGCAUUACAUUCUUCUCAAACAAAAUCAGUUGUAGAUCAUGUAUUUUUAUGAAACACUGAAUUUAAGUGAAUUUAAGGCGGUUAGGGUCCAGUACCUUAGAACAGGGAUGGUAAAUGAGAAAAAAUCAUAACUAUUCAGUGCCACUGGAAUUUCACAAUAAGAACAGGUUUCAGUCUCCAUUCUUCUAGAUAUUUUCAACACAACCUAGAUUUACAACUUUCUGUCAUAUUGAUUUGCUUGUUAAAUUGUGCAAUAUGUUAAUCAUAUAAAUUAAUUAUUGAUUGGAAAAAAAAUAAAAUAAAUUUGUAUA